GGGAAGGGGCAGAGGGACUGAACCGCUCUGCGGGGACGGGUGAAGAUGUCCCAAAGGAAAAGCGACUGGAAAGCCAGAAGCAGCAGCAGCAGCAACAAACGACGGUGUAGGGACCCUGUCUUUGGGAAUCUCAAGGAUUGUCUUCUCAACAGGGAACUUCAAACAGCAAGACACAAAUGCUAGAGAUAUCACAACCUGAGACACACAAAGCUGCUUUAACCAACCAACAAUAGAGAAAAAACGUGGGGGUAAUAAGUUUUUGAAAAAAAAAUUUAUUGCAGCCCUUUAUCCAAGUAUCAGUCAAUCCUAGCUCCUUACCUCUUGGUCUGGCCACCCUUGGCACGUGCCCUGGUGUAUAAAGGGCAAAGACAACAAGGAGCUCCAGGAGAGGUAAGGCAAAUUCCAAAUUUGGGGCAGGGAGAUAGCCUAAAAAGAGGCCCUUCUGGUUGAAAAGGGAGGGCCCUUCCCCCAGAGUGACAGCCCUUAAUAACUUUAAAAUAAAUCUGAGUAGUAAAGUCAGAGCAGAUAUCAUAGGGGAAUAAUGUAAUCAAUGGCUCCCGGUCCUGCCUCCACUGAAGAGAUCCCUCUACUACUAUGGGGGGGGUGGGGGGUCCUGCAUGGGUUGGGCAGGGAGAAAGUCAGGAGCACAGCAAUAAAAGAACAAUCUCCUUUUUAUUAAACAUGAUUUUCUGUUUCACCACACACUCCAGAAAAAAAGGAAAUGGGGCUGGGAGUGGAGAAAAACAGGAUGGGGGGGAGAGGGUCAGAGAAGGCUGUGGAUGGAUGGGGGGGGGGGGAGG